GAGACAGCAGCCGCCACGGGAAUACGAAGGGGGCUAGCGUUGUUCGGAUUUACUGGGCGUAAAGGGUGCGUGGGCGGGUCUUUAAGUCAGGGGUGAAAUCCUGGAGCUCAACUCCAGAACUGCCUUUGAUACUGAAGAUCUUGAGUUCGGGAGAGGUGAGUGGAACUGCGAGUGUAGAGGUGAAAUUCGUAGAUAUUCGCAAGAACACCAGUGGCGAAGGCGGCUCACUGGCCCGAUACUGACGCUGAGGCACGAAAGCGUGGGGAGCAAACAGGAUUAGAUACCCCUGUAGUCCCUGUCUCUUAUAC
rnacentral:rRNA from 1 species